rnacentral:rRNA from 1 species
CUAGGAUGAACGCUAGCUACAGGCUUAACACAUGCAAGUCGAGGGGCAGCAUUGGAGUAGCAAUACUCAGAUGGCGACCGGCGCACGGGUGAGUAACACGUAUCCAACCUGCCGCUUACUCGGGGAUAGCCUUUCGAAAGAAAGAUUAAUACCCGAUGGUAUAAAGAGUUCGCAUGUUCUCUUUAUUAAAGAAUUUCGGUAAGCGAUGGGGAUGCGUUCCAUUAGAUAGUUGGCGGGGUAACGGCCCACCAAGUCUACGAUGGAUAGGGGUUCUGAGAGGAAGGUCCCCCACAUUGGAACUGAGACACGGUCCAAACUCCUACGGGAGGCAGCAGUGAGGAAUAUUGGUCAAUGGACGAGAGUCUGAACCAGCCAAAGUAGCGUGAAGGAUGACUGCCCUAUGGGUUGUAAACUUCUUUUAUAAGGGAAUAAAGUGAGGGACGUGUCCCUUUUUGUAUGUACCUUAUGAAUAAGGAUCGGCUAACUCCGUGCCAGCCGCCGC